rnacentral:rRNA from 1 species
UACGUAGGAUCCAAGCGUUGUUCGGAUUUACUGGGCGUAAAGGGCGCGUAGGCGGCCACCGCCCGUCGACUGUGAAAUCUCCGGGCUUAACCCGGAAAGGUCAGCCGAUACUGCGGGGCUAGAGUGCAGAAGGGGCAACUGGAAUUCUCGGUGUAGCGGUGAAAUGCGUAGAUAUCGAGAGGAACACCUGCGGCGAAGGCGGGUUGCUGGGCUGACACUGACGCUGAUGCGCGAAAGCUAGGGGAGCGAACGGG